UACGGGGGGAGCAAGCGUUGUUCGGAUUUACUGGGCGUAAAGGGCGCGUAGGCGGUCAGCACAAGUCAGUUGUGAAAUCUCCGGGCUUAACUCGGAAAGGUCAACUGAUACUGUGCGACUAGAGUGCAGAAGGGGCAACUGGAAUUCUCGGUGUAGCGGUGAAAUACGUAGAUAUCGAGAGGAACACCUGCGGCGAAGGCGGGUUGCUGGGCUGACACUGACGCUGAGGAGCGAAAGUGUGGGGAGCGAACAGG
rnacentral:rRNA from 1 species